rnacentral:hammerhead_ribozyme from 1 species
AUCCGGUCGACGAGUCCCAAAUAGGACGAAACUCCUGUCAAACUGGAU